GAUGAACGCUGGCGGCGUGCCUAAUACAUGCAAGUCGAGCGAACGGACGAGAAGCUUGCUUCUCUGAUGUUAGCGGCGGACGGGUGAGUAACACGUGGAUAACCUACCUAUAAGACUGGGAUAACUUCGGGAAACCGUAGCUAAUACCGGAUAAUAUUUUGAACCGCAUGGUUCAAAAGUGAAAGACGGUCUUGCUGUCACUUAUAGAUGGAUCCGCGCUGCAUUAGCUAGUUGGUAAGUUAACGGCUUACCAAGGCAACGAGGCAUAGCCGACCUGAGAGGGUGAUCGGCCACACUGGAACUGAGACACGGUCCAGACUCCUACGGGAGGCAGCAGUAGGGAAUCUUCCGCAAUGGGCGAAAGCCUGACGGAGCAACGCCGCGUGAGUGAUGAAGGUCUUCGGAUCGUAAAACUCUGUUAUUAGGGAAGAACAUAUGUGUAAGUAACUGUGCACAUCUUGACGGUACCUAAUCAGAAAGCCACGGCUAACUACGUG
rnacentral:rRNA from 1 species